rnacentral:rRNA from 1 species
GACGAACGCUGGCGGCGUGCUUAAUACAUGCAAGUCAACUAAGUCUUUUGCAGCAAUGUAAAAGAUUUGGUGGCGCACGGGUGAGUAUAACGUAGGCAAUCUACCAAAAGGUCUGACACAACCUGCCGAAAGGCAGGCUAAUAUCAGAUGAUACAAAAAGCAGGCAUCUGUUUUUUAUCAAAGCUUCGGCGCCUUUUGAUGAGCUUACGCCCCAUUAGANAGUUGGCGGGGUAAUAGCCCACCAAGUCUACGAUGGGUAACUGGUCUGAGAGGAUGAUCAGUCACACUGGAACUGAGACACGGGUCCAGACUCCUACGGGAGGCAGCAGUAAGGAAUAUUGCGCAAUGGGCGAAAGCCUGACGCAGCGACGCCGCGUGGGGGAUGAAGGUCUUCGGA